UAGGGAAUCUUCCACAAUGGGCGCAAGCCUGAUGGAGCAACACCGCGUGAGUGAAGAAGGGUUUCGGCUCGUAAAGCUCUGUUGUUAAAGAAGAACGUGGGUAAGAGUAACUGUUUACCCAGUGACGGUAUUUAACCAGAAAGCCACGGCUAACUACGUGCAG
rnacentral:rRNA from 1 species